ensembl:miRNA
AUCUUGUUAAAAUGAAGAUUCUGAUUCAGUAGAUCUGGGGUAGAACUCGAGAUUCUGCAUUUUUAACAAGUUCUUAGGUGAUGCUAAU